CCUACGGGAGGCAGCAGGCGCGCAAAUUACCCAAUCCUGACACGGGGAGGUAGUGACAAUAAAUAACAAUACCGGGCUCUUCGAGUCUGGUAAUUGGAAUGAGUACAAUCUAAAUCCCCUAACGAGGAUCAAUUGGAGGGCAAGUCUGGUGCCAGCAGCCGCGGUAAU
rnacentral:rRNA from 1 species